UACGUAGGGUGCAAGCGUUAAUCGGAAUUACUGGGCGUAAAGCGUGCGCAGGCGGCUUUGCAAGACAGAUGUGAAAUCCCCGGGCUUAACCUGGGAACUGCAUUUGUGACUGCAUGGCUGGAGUGCGGCAGAGGGGGAUGGAAUUCCGCGUGUAGCAGUGAAAUGCGUAGAUAUGCGGAGGAACACCGAUGGCGAAGGCAAUCCCCUGGGCCUGCACUGACGCUCAUGCACGAAAGCUAGGGGAGCAAACAGG
rnacentral:rRNA from 1 species